AGCCACAAUCUGCAGUUUCGUUUGGUUAUCUGUAUCGAUUUUUUUAAAUCAUUGAAGGUCCCCAAUAAUAAUAAAUAACAGCAUAGUUUACCUGGGCUAUCGGCCUACGCAAUCAUUGCUGAAUGACUGAGAACUACUACGCAACACGUGCAUGAUCUCAUUCCACGUAGAUAAAGAAAGUCCAUUCCAAGAAUGAGUUGAAAAGACAGGAUGGAACGAUAUGCUGAAAGAUCUGUACCUGUUUUUUGUGUUUGGCUUUCAUUGUUACUCGUCGAACGUCGUAACGCCUCUCUUCUCCAAAACUGCGACUAGUUCUGCUUACAAAUUGAAUUCAUCGCUCUGGAAAGGCACGGCAACACCUGCAUAGACACAAACGAACGUUAUUUAGAUAGUUAGGUGAAUGAUGGAAAUCGGAAAACAUUCCAUCGUUGGUCGGAGGUAGUCAGUUUGCAAACAAGACGAUAAGAAACACCAAAAAUAUUUUGCUUGUUUCUAUUAUGGCGAUAAUAGAUUUACCCAAAAAACCGCCUUGUCUCUGUUUUGAAAACUAGUAUUGGUCGGCACAGUGCAACGGGACAUGCUGUGGCAAAGGUAAAUGUUACGAAAUCAUUGGCAUUUACUUCGAAUUCCUGUAGAGGAUAACAGUUCCCAGGUGGCACGUAUCGCUUAGCAGGAAAUUUUACAAAAUAUUUUUUACUUAACAGUAAGGUAAUGGAAUGAUGAGCGUAUUGUAUCUUAAGGCAUCGUAUGGGAUGAGACUGGAUCUAAAACAUUAGGGAAUACACCGAAACCGCGACUACCGUUCUUUCUACUUUCAGCAAAACGAAGUUAAAAAUGGCCGAAAGCGUACGUCUCAUUUCAGUCUCAGGUUUCUUUAUGACAACUUUUUCGUUUGCCUCCGUGCUGAAACAACUACAAUCCGGAUUCAGAACAGUUUUCACCCAGGAGGAUGUCGGAGAUGCUACUGGAAUCACUUUUCCCUUUCUUUCGCGAUGCUGUAUGUAAUGGCGGAUCCAGUUGUUGCCAAGUGAAACUUUCAGGCCAGCCGAAUAGGUAGUCAGUAUUUUAAAAUAGCAAAACAAUGUUAUCACAUCUAAUUUUGCCAUGUCCGAAUAAAUAAUGACG